rnacentral:rRNA from 1 species
UACGUAGGGAGCAAGCGUUGUUCGGAUUUAUUGGGCGUAAAGGGCGCGUAGGCGGCCACGCACGUCCGUUGUGAAAUCGCCCGGCUCAACUGGGCGGGGUCGGCGGAUACGGCGUGGCUGGAGCAAGCUAGGGGGCAAUGGAAUUCCCGGUGUAGUGGUGGAAUGCGUAGAUAUCGGGAGGAACACCAGUGGCGAAGGCGGUUGCCUGGAGCUUUGCUGACGCUGAGGCGCGACAGCGUGGGGAGCAAACAGG